rfam:Streptomyces viridochromogenes strain NRRL 3414 P001contig2.1, whole genome shotgun sequence.
CUUGACCGACCCGAGCCACAGCGGCUCCUCGCGGCCCUGUCCAUAGGUGGCGAGGAUGGCCUGCGCCUC